GGAUGUGAGAGCGAUCUGGCUGUGACAUCUGUCACCCCAUCAAUCUGCAGGCUGAUUUGGCUGAUCUGGCUGCUUAGGUGAGUGUCCCUUUCCUCCCUCAGCGCUCCAUGCUCGCCCCUCCCGGAGCUGUCCACUCAAAGACGACCACCCCGGAUAGAGGAGGACCGUUGUUUCCUCAGUCAAGGGUAUAGGAAUAGCUGCUCUCCCCUGCUAGAACCUCCAAACAAGCCCUCAAAUAAGUGGCGAGUGGGCCGGGGUUUUAGCUCAGUGGUGCCGCCACAUGCCUUGUAAGCACAAG
rnacentral:snRNA from 1 species